GUCUACAGCCAUGCUAUCCUGAACAAGCCCGAUCCCGUCUGAUCUCGGAAGCUAAGCAGGGUCGGGCCUGGUUAGUACGUGGAUGGGAGAACACCUACGAAGACAAGGUACUGUAGGCG
rnacentral:rRNA from 1 species